GGAGAGAUGGCUCAGCAGUAAAGAGCACUGGCUGCUGUCCAGAGGACCUGGGUUCAAUUCCCAGCACCU
rnacentral:tRNA from 1 species